AACGAACGCUGGCGGCAUGCCUAACACAUGCAAGUCGAACGAGACCUUCGGGUCUAGUGGCGCACGGGUGCGUAACGCGUGGGAACCUGCCCUUAGGUUCGGAAUAACUCCCCGAAAGGGGUGCAAUACCGGAUAAUGUCUUCGGACCAAAGAUUUAUCGCCUUUGGAUGGGCCCGCGUUGGAUUAGCUAGUUGGUAGGGUAAAAGCCUACCAAGGCGACGAUCCAUAGCUGGUCUGAGAGGAUGAUCAGCCACACUGGGACUGAGACACGGCCCAGACUCCUACGGGAGGCAGCAGUGGGGAAUAUUGGACAAUGGGCGAAAGCCUGAUCCAGCAAUGCCGCGUGAGUGAUGAAGGCCUUAGGGUUGUAAAGCUCUUUUACCCGGGAUGAUAAUGACAGUACCGGGAGAAUAAGCUCCGGCUAACUCCGUG
rnacentral:rRNA from 1 species